rnacentral:rRNA from 1 species
UACGUAGGGCGCAAGCGUUGUCCGGAAUUAUUGGGCGUAAAGAGCUCGUAGGCGGUCUGUUACGUCCGCUGUGAAAACCCAGGGCUUAACCCUGGGCUUGCAGUGGAUACGGGUAGACUAGAGGCAGGUAGGGGAGAAUGGAAUUCCCGGUGUAGCGGUGAAAUGCGCAGAUAUCGGGAGGAACACCGGUGGCGAAGGCGGUUCUCUGGGACGGUACUGACGCUGAGACACGAAAGCGUGGGGAGCGAACAGG